GGUCUACAGAUGUGCAACUCUGGGACCUCCUCCACCUCAUCUUAUAGAGGGAAGGCCUACACCUGCCAACAGGUGGGGCACUAAUAACUGGAGCAUUGGUAAUACGAGUGUGUUUCCCCGGUCACUCCCCAUGGUAGGUGGUGGUGUAACCGUGUUUAACUACCAGGGGUUUUUAUGACACUAUGUCAACAUAGGUCAGCUGAUAGCCAUUGUGUAUAGGUAAUCGGUAGUCACCCUGGCGCCUCAACGAAAUAUUAUAGAAUACUCUGUAGCAAAAGUAAUGCCACAAAGUAAAAAUGUAUAUAUUCAAGUCAUGAAAAUGUAAAUACAAGUUGGUGUAAUAAAAUGUAUGUUUAAUUAGAA